UGAGCUCGUCCACCCAUCUAAGCAAUAAAAAAAAAAGUUGUUUUUUUUUGUUUGUCAUUGUCAUGUCUGCUAAGAUCAUUUUAUUCAAAUUACCGUAUUAGAAACAUAGUAAAAUAUUAAUAGCAAACUCUGUUGAAGUAUGUUUAAAAUACAUUUAUUUAGAAUCAAUCCUCGUGGCCAUUAUUUAUGUAAAUAUUAAAAAUAGGAAAUAAUAACAGACUAAGACUUAUGAUUAUUUUAUAACUUAAAUUCUAGUUUCAUGACUAUCCUAAAUUUUGUUGACUUCCGCCCUGGCACAAAGAGGCGCGGCGUGAUGCACGCAAAAUGGCGAACGACACACUGAUUGAGCGAGGACAGAAGCAAGACGUACUUUACAAAGCGUAUCGAUUAAGGCAAUUAGUGUACUUUAAAACCUAUUUGAAGUUGUUGAAAUAAAGGGAGUGUAAUCAAACAGCAUUUGGAUUGCUUUUUUUUGCGGUGAAAGCCAAAAGUUCAGAAGCGGGAUCACCAUGAAUACAUAAAAUUUUCUAAAGCGUCCACAAAAUGUGUAACGGACGUGACGUCAGCUGUUAUGCCCUGCCGCCAGCCAAGCCGCCAAGCCAUGUUAACACGCCCCCUUCCGCCACCGCCGCCAGCCAAAGCCAACGAAGGGGGGAUAGUGUUAAUAAAACAAGCCAUGCCAGCCAUUUCUACCUACUUUUCUGCAUUCUUGCACAAAUAAAAGAACUUGUCGUUACGCUGCUGGUUUUUAUUGUCACAUCAUUUGCAACAAUCAGAAGUGGCAUAAAGAAAUGAAACAACGUCAUAUACACGCUCAGAUCUCUCGGUCUUCUGACAAGUUUGAAGAAGAUGAAGCUCCUAUUCCAAUGGCGAGGAAGGUGUUGAAAAAUUUCUUCAGAAGGAGGUCCACAAGGCGAUACUUGAGCUACAGGAUGAAGAACCUGGAACAAUCAAAUCAAAGGGACUUCGACGUCGUCGGACCAAGAGCGCCUGCCGCCCUGUCCUUCCAUCAUUCUGGUUCAUGUGGAGGAAAACUAGAAGAGCAGCAACGUGGUUACUCAACUGCGGCACUACGAGCUUCACGGCGAUUCACGAGAUUCACGGCUACGAGCUUCCUUCUCCCUGCCUGCGACGCUGCUGCGCGGCGAAGACAGCUACGUCAAAGUCAUCAACAUGAGCUCAGAGACCAUCAUGUGGCCGCCGGGCAAGGUCCUGCCGAGGGCCAACAGCUGCGAGGAGCCACAGCCAAAUAGCCAGGUGUGUUGCAUUUCUACUUGCCCUAGCCAUGCCAUUACAAAUAUUUCGAGAUUUGAGGGUAGAAAUAAAAAAAAUUAAAAGGAGCCAUUAAAUUAUAAGGGUCAUUCAGAUUUAAAAAAUACAGUAUAAGCAUUGCUUUGCUACGAAUACACAUGAUUUAGGUAUUGCCAAUUUAGUUCAAAUGCAAAUUAAGCUUACUAAUGAUCAGCCCGUGUAUCGCCAUCUUUAGACUUUCUCAUAAUGAACAAACGAUAGUUAAAUCUAAAGCUAAUCAACGUUUAGAUGCCGGCAUUAUAAAAUAAUCUGAAUCUAGUCAUGCUUCACCAGUGGUCUUAUUAAGAAAAAGAACGGCGACAGUAGGCUAUGCGUUGAUUAUCGUGCGUUAAACGCUAUCGUGGUAAGAUAUAGGUAUCCACCAAACAGUAUUUCACACGAUUAGCCCAGGGCUACUAUCAAUUAAGCGUUGUGCCAGACACACAAAACUGCUUUCAUUACACCGCAAAGUCAUUAUUACGAGUACACUAGAAUUCUUUUUGGUUUAGCAAAUGCGCCAUCUGUAUUCAUGCGUUUCUUCUUUUUCUCCACCUUAUUCCACUAGGUGGGGUAGUUAAAUGCGUUUAAUAAAUAAAAUAAUUGAGUAUGUGGGUAGAAAAGAAAUGGGUAAAAAUAAAUGCAGGUCAAAUCGAGAUACUAGCGAUUUUAAACGAUUUUACCUCUACCCUCAGUUGGUAAAAAAAAUCAGGUUCAAUAAUUAUUGAGAAGUACUGGGAAAUUUUAUGGUGGAGACUUAAAAUUAUGAGUAAAUGCUCAUUCUUGGAGAAACAAGUCACUUAUUGAGGUCAUGAAAUAUCUUCAGACGGUAUACAGCCGGGUGCAACAAAAAUUGACGGCCGUUUCGCAGUUUCCUGUGCCAAAUAAUGCUCAUAGUGUGCGACAGAUUAUUGGUUAUGUGUUACUUUAGAAGUUUAUUCCCAGUUUUGCCGUGAUUGCGCGUCCAUUAAAGGACUUAAGAAAAAAAAAAAAACAGAUAGGUCGUUUUCGAACUGAAAAACAGUUUAUGUUCCAAACCUAUGCUAGCUCUGUAUAAUCCUAUGCUUCUUACAAAAAUACAAACCGAUGCGUGUAACUUAGGAAUUUCUGGUAUACUAUUACAAAAACAAGGUAUACUAUUACAAAAACAAUUUGACAACUCACUGCGGCCUGUUAUGUAUUUUAGCCGGGUUACUAGGAAGGAAGAGUGUGUAUCAUAGUUAAGAGCUCAUAACCUGGCGGUCGUACAAUCGUUACGUAGGUUCCGUGUUUAUGUUGUAGGUAAACAUGAUAUAGUAGAAACUGAUUGUACUGUGGUUUGUGCUGUAUACCACGCAUUGCGCAAUGGUGAGUUUUGAAAGCAGAUUAUGACAUUAGUGUUGAGUAUAGACCUGGUGAACGUAUGGAACAUUUGUAGACGCGCUUAAUAGGCAUCCUGUUGACAUGAUGAACGUGAAUCGUCUUAGUUACUGAUUGAUUCUGUACUGUGCAAUGUCAGGACGAAAAACUUGGUUCGAUUAUAAAGCAAUCUAUACUAACAUUAUAAAGCUGAAGAGUUUGUUUGUUUGAACGCCCUAAUCUUAAGAACUGCUGGUCCGAUUUGAAAAUUCUUGCAUUGUUAAAUAACCCAUUUAUCGAGAAAGGUUAUAGGCUAUAUAAGGCAUCACUGUGUCACGCUAAGACCAAUACAAGCGAAGUACCAGUAAAUAAUGUUUCAAAAUCGGGUUAUUUUCCCUUGAGAGCUUCCGGUGCGUGCGCUGCAGAAAGAUCUAAAAAAAAAUGUCCGCGAUAGCAUAUGUCUAUAUGUUAAGGUUGGCUCACUAUAACGUUUUUUUUAAGCUAAGCAAAUUUGUUCUAAAAUAAAGCAUUAUUUGUGAACUAUAUUCCACGCGGACGAAGUCGCGCUGAUGUUAAAGAUAAAAGUAACUGAAACAGACUCGCGGUCCCUUCGACUAAAUGGAAAAUUGUACAAAUGCACUAUGACGACAUUUGUCACGUGGAUCUAAAUCAUCGUUUAGCUUUGAUUAAAAGCCAAUAUUGGUUUCUUAAAAUGACACGCUUUAUUAGGAAAUACGUGGCAGCAUGUCUUUAUUGUACACAUGAGAAGGAUAACUAUGUUAAAAAAAAGAAGACUGUCUAUAUCCGAUCUCUAAACCAUCUGAUACUAUGCGCAUGGUACAAAUAGAUAACAUGAUGCCCUUCUGUAGGACAUCUAAAGGGCACCAACCAGUACAUGAUCGUAAUGAAAGAUGCGUUGUCUAAAUUUGUGAUAGCUGAACUAACGCGUACUGUAAAUUCAAUCGGGACCAUUCGUGCAUUGAAAAAUAUAUUAAUAGGGUUUGUCCAGAUACCCGAAUCACGUGGUGACAGACUACGGGAAAGCUUUUACGAGUAGGUACUUUAAAAAAAUAUAUCGGAAGAUAAACAGUUUAGGCAUACGUUAAACGGUACUACUAACUAAACAUACAAUUUUAUAUGUUGCGGGCAACUGAUCCUAGUGAAGCAACAAAUAAUUUAGUGAACUCCGUCAAUUGAGGCACAAACAACACAAUUAAAAGUAACAGCGGCUACAAGCCUUGUGAUUUAAUCUUUGCGCGCUCUGGUAGGUCAAUAUGUGAUGUUUCUAUUCCUGGUUGCGAACCAGAAACUGUUGAUGCACGCCGUAGAUAGCUACAGCUAGGAUAAAAUAAGCGAGUACAAUAAUGACACCCAACAUUAAGAUAAAAAAAUGCUCAUGUUUAUAAGAAAAGGGAUUUUGCAUCGUAGAGACAGGCUCCAACUGGUUAGCAGCGCCGCUAGGAUUAAUACCAAAUUAGACUAUUUGUACUCAAGUCCGUAUGUAGUAACUAAAGUAGUAGGUAACAAUCGGUAUCGAAUUAGAAGUAUAUCUAAAAGGUUUACGAAGUUAUAAAAACUUCACUGGCCUGGAAUCAACAGAUUCAUUAAGGCCCUGUAAAAGUAUAGCCCAUGUGUCCGAUAGCGCUAGUAGUUCCGAUGAGCAGCUUGAAACUGAAGACCUUAUUGAUUUAUUUGAGAACUAAAUGUUUUUGUGUGUUCCCCAUUGCGGGAGCAAUUGUUGCAGGAUGGCCGAAUGUAACGGACGUGACGUCAGCUGUUAUGCCCUGCCGCCAGCCAAGCCGCCAAGCCAUGUUAACACGCCCCCUUCCGCCACAGCCACCGCCGCCGCCGCCAGCCAAAGCCAACGAAGGGGGGAUAGUGUUAAUAAAACAAGCCAUGCCAGCCAUUUCUACCUACUUUUCUGCAUUCUUGCACAAAUAAAAGAACUUGUCGUUACGCUGCUGGUUUUUAUUGUCACAUCAUUCGCAACACAGGUGACAUAAAUGGUAAUUGGAAUAUUGAAACAUUACAAGGAGGAACGUUACAAAUAUUAAGGACAUUUUUGAAUAUUGAAACAUAAAAAUUGGUGAAGCAAUAGCUUUAAAUGUUGUUUCUCUUUAUAGAGCAACUCAGUUUGUGCUAUAGAUUUACUGGGCUAAACUUUAUUUUGAUGUGAAUUAAAUAAUACAUUAAAGUAUAUCACAAUUUACUUUAAACAAUAAUACAUUAUAUGUGUACUUGCGGGUUCCAGACAAAAAUGCCCAUAAAUUGUUUCUAAAAUUAUUAAAUUAAAUGGAAAAGCAAUAGUGAUAAAUCGAGGGUGUAGAUCUCUAUCCAAAUAUCAGAACUCUUGAUCACAAUUAGUACACAAUAUGCACAACACGCACUUCGUUUAUGGAGAAAAUGUAAACCGCUAUUAUGCUUAUAUAAAAAAAAUAAAAAAAUUUAUGUAUAAACCAAGUAUAGACUGUACUCUUACUUGAACGAUUACUAAGCUAUUUUUCUUCUUCUUUUGUUGAGGUCUAGAAAUAUGGAAGGAGACACCCGAGGUCAAGGGUCGGAAUUAGAAGCCGCCCGAGGUCAAGGGUCGGAAUUAGAAGCCGCCCGAGGUCAAGGGUCGGAAUUAGAAGCCGCCCGAGGCCAAGGGUCGGAAUUAGAAGUUGCCCGAGGUCAAGGGUCGGGGAAUUAGAAGUUGCCCGAGGUCAAGGGUCAGAAUUUGGAGUUACCCGAGGUCAAGGGUCUGAAUUCGGAGUUGCUCGAGGUCAAGGGUCAGAAUUCGGAUUUUCCCGAAGUCAAAGGUCGGGAUUUGGUAAUAAUGCCCAAGGUAAGGAUUUGGAAUUUGGCGAUGUCCAAGGUCAGGGAUCGGAAAUCGGAAAUACUCGAGGUCGAGGGUACGAAGUCUAUAAUGCCCGAGGUACAGAGCCUGAAAUUGAUUACGAACGACUGCAAGGACCAAGAGAUAAUGACAUAAUAUAUCGUGGGAUUACUAAUGGCGUAGUGCGAACGCGUGAACCGAGACAUGGAACCGAGUUGUAUGGCGCGAAAAAAUUCCGGCGGAGACAGCGAUUGGAGGGGAGGUCGGAGUCCAAGGAAUCUGAAGAGGACUUUAUAUUGCGGGUUCAGAGUAAAAGGAGGCGGUCUCCAAACCGACGAAUUAGACGUAAAGGAACUUAUAAAGGUACAACUAGUACAUCAACCGAAUCACUAUCUAGCGGAUCUUAUAGGGACUGUUCUAAACCUAACCGUGCUAAGUACUCUAAAAGCUCUUCGAGCUAUAAAAUGUUGGAUAAGUUUCUGUCGAUAAUCAAAGAUGUAAGGAGGUCCCACAAUCCUAAAAUGUCUUUCAAUAGCAAUGUGAUUCCGGACUUUGACCCCAUGACUAAGACACAAACUAUAUUGACGUGGAUAACAAAAGUUGAAGAAUGUUCUGAAAUAUAUGGUUGGGGUGAAAGGGAAACCAUACAUUAUUCUCUGCAAAAAUUAAGUGGUGUUGCUAAAUCCUAGUAUCAAGGUCUUCCCACAUUGCUAUACAGUUGGUCCGAAUGGAAGAAAAAGCUUAUACAAACAUUUCCUUCCCAAGAAAACUAUGCUGAGCUUCUCACUGAAAUGUUGAAUAAGAGAGCUAGGUACGGAGAGUCUUUGGAACACUAUUACUAUACUAAGGUCAACCUUCUAAACCGCUGUAGAAUAAACGGAAAACAAGCCGUCGACUGCUUACUUCACGGCAUAGAUGAUCGUGCCGUUAAAGUGGGGGCGCAGGCAGAGCACAAUUUUCUGAGCCCGAACAGGUCCUUAUAUAUUUUAGGUCAGUAAAAAUUGGUAGCCCCAGGGCAAAUAAUGAUAAGUUUAGGAACAAUCGGGUUGACAGGAAUUCAUAUUCAGUCAACAACAAAAGAACGAAUACUAGACAGAGUAUCAGUAAUCCGAGUAUUAAAUGUUUUAAUUGUAAUCAGCUGGGACACCCUAGUUUUAAAUGUUAAAACCGUUGUCCAAAUGUACAAAAUGCGAUAGGAUAGGACACCUGGCACCUAACUGUUAUAAAGACAAAAAUGAUGAAAACGGAACUAUGAAUAGGCCUACUACCAAAAACGAAAAUCUAGUCUCGGAAUUACGUGCUUCGAACAGAACAAAUGACAAAUACAUUAUGAAUGUCAGGGUCAAUGGCAUACAGUUCGAAUGUCACUUGGACUUAGGGAGCCAAUGUUCACUAAUUAGGGAACGCGACACAAAGUUACUUAACACAACUAUAGUUACAGAUAAUGAGUUGCCGAUGCUUAGAGGCAUUGGUGCGACCUUACCCGACCGUUAGGUAGGAUAGCUGCGCACGUAGAGGUGCAGGGAAUUUCAGAGAACAUUGAUAUGUAUGUGGUAGAAGAUUACGUGUUAAGGCACUUUGUUCUCAUACGACAUUCAUUCACAGAAAAAUCGAAUAUAGUUAUAACGAAAACACCUGAUCAGUUAAUACUACAGAGAAUAUCCAAAGAUCAAAAACUACAUGUCUUAACACGUGACAACACGAUAAUUGCUGCGAAUGCAUGGCGAGCGGUUCCCGUUCGCUGCGAGGUACUGGAGAAAGGCUCCGUUUACGUCAAUGGUUCUGUAAGAGAACGCGACGGACCAAAAUAUUACCUGUUACCCGGCGAAUACGAAAUAUCAAACAACGGCUCUGCGUUGCUAAUUCACAAUCUCUCUAACUGCGACUUUAACAUCCAAAGGAAUUUUCUACUAACAAGAGCUUGUCGAUCACAAGUGGCACUUCAUACUUGCGAGGUAACUGUUGAUACAAUACGACGCAAUGAUGACACAAUACAUUAUAACCCAAAGCUAACUCCCGACCAACGUUUAGCCCUUCAAAAUUUACUUACGAAAUAUAAAGACUGCUUCUCAUACAGCCUUCAAGAUUUAGGUUGUACAAAACUAACUGAAAUGACCAUCGAUUUGGAGAACACUGAACCAGUCGUUUACAGACCGUAUCGAAUGUCUCAUUCCGAGAGAUCAUUAGUUAGAGACAUGAUACAAGAAAUGUUAAAUAGUGGGAUUGUUAGAGAAUCUUCUUCGCCAUAUGCAAUUCCAAUUGUCCUUGUAAAAAAGAAAACGGGGGAAAAACGACUAUGUGUAGAUUAUCGCGCUCUGAAUAGAAAGACUAAAAAGAACCAUUACCCUUUACCAAGAAUUGAGGACCAAUUGGACUUAUUAGCGGGAAACACGAUAUUCACAUCCCUAGAUUUAGCAUCCGGCUACUAACAGAUACCAAUAGAAGAAGGUUCGCGUCACAAAACCGCAUUCGUGACUCCAGACGGUCAAUUUGAAUAUAAUCGGAUGCCAUUUGGAUUGGUGAAUGCACCGGCGGUAUUUCGAAGAACUAUAAAUACUAUCCUGGCGGAAGCCAAAAUUAAGUAUGCUCUUGUUUAUAUGGAUGACAUAUUAAUUCCCUCGAAGAAUUUUGAAGAAGGAAUGAUCAGAUUAACGAAAGUACUGAAACUUUUGCGAAGUGGAGGGCUCACUUUGAAAAUGAGUAAAUGUAGCUUCUUCCUCGACGAGAUUGACUUUCUUGGAUUUGAGGUUAGCGCAAAAGGUAUUCGACCAGGGUGCAGAAAGACCGAAGCGGUGUCUAAUUUUCCUAAGCCCAAAAACCAACAUGAACUACGUAAAUUUUUCGGAUUAUCGGGGUUUUUUAUAAGAUUUAUCAAAAACUACGCAUUGGUAGCUGCGCCUCUAACUGAACAUCUUAAGAAGGAUCAAGAGUGUAUAUGGAACGAACAUAGAGGAAAAUCUUUCACACAUAUCAAGGAGCUCUUGUUGUAAGACAGAGCUCUUGUAGAAGAAAAAGAUUCUGAGCGAUUCAAUACAAAUAGAAAACCGUGUAAAAAGUAUGAAGUAGGAGACCUAAUCCGAAUAGAAAAGCAUGUGUCCAACGAUGGUCAUCCAAAGAAACUUUUAAUGAAAUAUCAGGGUCCUUACCGCAUCUUGAAAGUCUUGGAACACGAUAGAUUCUUAGUUGAAGACGCUUCGUUGUCUCAUAAGGGCGGUCGUCGUUACGAAGUGUUGUCGCCAUAGACAAAAUUCAACCCUGGACAAGCUUUAAUCGAAACUUCGAUGAUGGCUAGAGCGAAAACGAUGACGAGGAUAAUAAAGACAAUGAUGAUGAAGACAGGAAGGAUCAAGCGGGUAAUUGACGUAGAUGUAGGCAGUAGUGACGUUUUAGGUGAUUAUAAUAUCAAUGUAACCAGUGACGUUAAUGCUAAUGAGAUUCGCCUCGAUUAAAAGUUGAGACCGUCCUAAUAAUGUAAUACUUUAAACUAUGUUAUAAGGCAUUGCAAGUAGACAGGAAGAGAAUGGUUGUUCCUGUAUAACAUACAAGCAUCACGAAGGGACUCGUGAUAUUGCAGGAAGGCCGAGCUGUUAGGAUCAUUUUAUUCAAAUUACCGUAUUAGAAACAUAGUAAAAUAUUAAUAGCAAACUCUGUUGAAGUAUGUUUAAAAUACAUUUAUUUAGAAUCAAUCCUCGUGCCCAUUAUUUUUGUAAUUAUAUUUAUGUAAAUAUUAAAAGUAGGAAAUAAUAACAGACUAAGACAUGAUUAUUUUAUAACUUAAAUUCUAGUUUCAGGAUUAUCCUAAAUUUUGUUGACUUCCGCCCUGGCACAAAGAGGCGCGGCGUGAUGCACGCAAAAUGGCGAACGACUUACUUUACAAAGCGUAUCGAUUAAGGCAAUUAGUGUACUUUAAAACCUAUUUGAAGUUGUUGAAAUAAAGGGAGUGUAAUCAAACAGCAUUUGGAUUGCUUUUUUUCGGUGAAAGCCAAAAUGUCUUUUACUGGGCCAACAUUUAUGAAUCGUCCACUAAAAUUUAUUGUGUAAGUCGCCCUUAUAAUAACAGUCGAUUAUACUUAACUAGCGACCCAUCCUCGCUUCGCUUCGGAAACUGUAAUUUAUUAUUGAUUUCUCCACUAUGUAAUGGAUGUUAUUAUACAUAUAAACCUUCCUCUUCAAUCACUCUAUCUAUUAAAAAAAACCGCAAUCAAAUCCGUUGCGUAGUUUUAAAGAUUUAAGCAUACAUAGGAACAGACAGAUAUAGGGACAGAAAAAGUGACUUUGUUUUAUACUAUGUAGUGAUACUGUUAAAGAAUAAUAAAUUGAAUCCUCAUUAAGAUUUGUCUCUUUAAACGACCACUAUUACACUUAAUUAGUGUUUGUUGCUUUGUGAACAUGGAUUGCUUACAACUUAAAAUAUUCCGGUCAACGUCCUCGUCGAACCCGUCGCUUGCGACGAAGGGCUCGACGAGUAAAUUAACCCAUAGACACAGGUUACUGAGAUUCUCACCGCAUCUUCUCAGAAGGUCGCGUUUCCGAUCCGGUGGUAGAUUCUGCGAAGCAUUGCUCUUUCUAGGGCCAGUGUUAGUAUAUUCUCUCAGGUUGAGUCCGUGAGCUCACCUAACCGUCCGCACGUAACUGGGAUUGGCCUUAAAGCACCAGUGAAUAGAUAGAGAAAACUAUAUAACGUUUCUCUGUCUUAUUUAUGCUCCUCGAUUCGAAUGAAAAUGUCCGUUGGUUUUUGGCGGGAAUGCGAAAUGCGAAGUGGUGUGAAUUGUUUUAUUUGGCUGAUUUAAUGUUUUCUCAGGCUUCAUUGUGUGAUAACGGUGGUUUAUUAACUGUUUAGCGUCCGUGAAAGUAUACAGAUACCCGAAAAUAAAACAAAACCGUGGCUUCUUCUAAUGAGUUCACUAAAAAAGUCUUAGUAAACAAAUACCAUUUUACUAUGAUUUUAUUUUAAACCUAUCUAAUCUCGUCUCAUUGAAUUUCAUCUCAAUUAAUUAAUGUUUCAAAUUAAUCAACUACAUCUUAUUUCGUUUUAUGUAAUUUUUAUGUAACAAUAUAAACAUAUUUAUUAAAUAAUCGAAGAUUUUAUAGACUCGACACUGGCAACAAUGGCGUCGCAAGAAGCCAAUUGCCAUACUUAGAAGAAAGAAGAUACUUUUUCAGUAAUUUGAAUUUUACUGGCACUGCCGGAAAAUUCUAAUGAAAUACGUACUCAACAAAUUUUAAUGUUCACGAUUGACUUCCACGGUGAAGGAAUAACAUCGUGUAAUAAAAAUCAAACCCGCAAAAUUAUAAUUUGCGUAAUCACUGGUGGUAGGACCUCUUGGGAGUCCGCACGGGUAGGUACCACCACCCCGCCUAUUUCUGCCGUGAAGCAGUAAUGCGUCUCGGUUCGAAGGGUGGGGCAGCCGUUGUAACUAUACUGAGACCUUAGAACUUAUAUCUCGAGGUGGGUGGCGCAUUUACGUUGUAGAUGUCUAUGGGCUCCAGUAACCACUUAACACCAGGUGGGCUGUGAGCUCGUCCACCCAUCUAUGCAAUAAAAAAAAAAUUAAAAAAAAAUUGGGAUUUCUUGUGGAAUUUUUUUGAAGGAGCGGUGACGGAUAUGAAAAAAUAUGGCGCUGAGUGAAGUAGGAGUGUAUGGUGACAUUUAUUUCUAGUUAGAAUUUGAGAACUAAAUAACUUAACAUUACAAAUAACAAUAUCUUGUGAAUGUUGUGUUUUUGUUUUACAGAGCAAUGAAAAUAAAUCGUAUAAUAAGUAAGAUGUGUUGUUGAUUAUUCAAGAUAAUUGAAACUUUUUUCUAUAUCAUGUCAUACAAUACGAAGUAUUAGAUGAAAAAGGUUUGUACUAGUGCCGAUUACGAAGAAAACAAUAUACUUUACACUUACGUACAUAAAUAUUAUAUAUGUAUGUAAAUGAAGCUCUGGCUUGUGUCUCUUGGCUUUCAUUAAAUUUAAAUUUCCCGCGCUUUAACUUCGACUAUAGGCAUAAUAGUAUUUGUUAUCUAUGGUGGCAGCAUUUUACACUAUGUUCAUUCUAGAAUUAGAAAAACUGCUCUUUGGAUUUGUACAUUCAAAAAGAUAACGUGUUUUUCUAAAUUAUAAAUAUUUCAGAUUUUAAUAAAGAUAUUGAAUAUUGAAGAAAUAUCUUUCAAUGUUGUUUCUCUUUACAGGUUCGUAAAUUAUUAUAAUAAUUGUAAGUUCUACACUUAGUAAGUUAAUAAAAUAAUAAUAAAUAAAAUAAAUCUUUACAGAACAACAA